rnacentral:rRNA from 1 species
CCUACGGGGGGCAGCAGUGAGGAAUAUUGGUCAAUGGGCGUAAGCCUGAACCAGCCAAGUCGCGUGAGGGAUGAAGGUCCUAUGGAUUGUAAACCUCUUUUAUAAGGGAAUAAAGUGUGGGACGUGUCCUGUUUUGUAUGUACCUUAUGAAUAAGGAUCGGCUAACUCCGUGCCAGCAGCCGCGGUAAUACGGAGGAUCCGAGCGUUAUCCGGAAUCAUUGGGCGGAAAGGGUUCGUAGGCGGGAUGUUAAGUCAGUUGUUAAAGUUGCAGGCUCAACCUUUGUAUUGCACUUGAUACUGGCAGGCUGGAAUGCGGUAGAGGUAAACGGAAUUCGUGGUGUAGCGGUGAAAUGCUUAGAUAUCAGGAGGAACAUCGAUUGCGAAAGCGCUUUACUGGGCCGUAAUUGACGCUGAGGAACGAAAGUCAGGGUAGCAAAUGGGAUUAGAUACCCUAGUAGUC